GGCAAAUGAUCAACAGCAUUAUCAGGACUACAGCAGCCCAGCCCGGCAAGAUUCGCAGCGAGUGGUUGGAAGGAAACAACAAUCUUAUGACGCUUUGAGGGCUGCCUGGGACCGAGACAAGAAGAGCAUCUCUAACCGAUAUUAAUGCUCUUCCCUUCCCUUAGCAACUCAAUUAUGUAUUAUUCCCUCGCCCUCUGCUUUUGAGUAAUCGUAGACCCAAAGCUUUUGCUGCUACCUUGUCCUGGUGUAUAGUAGGAAUGUCAAUAGGUUUACAAGUAUAUUGAGCUCUGAGUUAGCUCUUCUUUUGUGUAUCAGCCGACGAAAUGUGACCUGAAAUGACAUUUAGUUGUGCGAAGAUCUCAGUUGUGAUAACUAUUUGCAAUCGUC
rnacentral:lncRNA from 1 species